AAAAGAUAAGCUAAAUUAAGCUAUUGGGUUCAUACCUCAAUCAUAAAGAAUUUCUUUUCUUUUUA
rnacentral:tRNA from 1 species